rnacentral:lncRNA from 1 species
AACAUGAAAUAAGGAAAGUUUUUUUGGUUAUUGGAAUUCUUAAUUAAGGCAUGAUUAUUAAAAAAAUUCUCUUUUAUGAUUAACAAGGUAUGUACAAUGAACUUGGAUUAGUAGGACCGAAUAGAUCAUCCGCUUCGAGCUUACCACCUGUAUACUCGAGUCUUGACCGGGAGAGUUAUAUCUACGAUGAAUCUGGAUAAAUUCUGACAAUCCUUUUCAAGUUGCUAGUUGAUCAUUUAAGCUAAUAAAUGGUAAAAGCAAGUCUGUUGUAUCUCCCACAAAUAUAGUGACAAUCAAUCCAACGUGUCAUCCUUUUCUAGAAUACUCAGUUGGAAGCUUAAUCUCAUCUAUGCUACCUUUCUGACCUCCAGUUCUUC